CGGGAAAAGCUCAAAUUUAAAAUCUGGCAGUCUUUGGCUGUCCGAGUUGUAAUCUAGAGAAGCAUUAUCCGCGCUGGACCGUGUACAAGUCUCCUGGAAUGGAGCGUCAUAGAGGGUGAGAAUCCCGUCUUUGACACGGACUGCCAGGGCUUUUGUGAUGUGCUCUCAAA
rnacentral:rRNA from 1 species